rnacentral:rRNA from 1 species
GACGAACGCUGGCGGCGUGCUUAACACAUGCAAGUCGAACGAAGUGGCGAACGGGUGAGUAAUACGUGGGUAACCUGCCCUCCUUUUGGGGAUAAGCCUUGGAAACGGGGUCUAAUACCGAAUAAAGGGGGAUGGGCUCGCGGCCUAUAAGCUUGUUGGUGGGGUGAUGGACUACCAAGGCGGCGACGGGUAGCCGGCCUGAGUGCGUGACCGGCCACAAUGGGACUAAGAGAGGGCCCAGGCGCCUACGGGAGGCAGCAGUGGGGAAUAUUGCACAUUGGGGGAGACCCUGAUACGUCAGCGCCGCGUGCGGGAUUACGGCCUUCGGGUUGUAAACCGCUUUCAGCCAUGACGCGGUAGUGGCAGAAGAAGCACCGGCUAACUACGUGCCAGCAGCCGCGGUAAUAC